UGCUGAGAAGGAAGCCCUGGCCUGGGGAAGGGACCCACUUCCCCAGGAGACAGCCUAAGGGAUGGGAGUGCGCUGUGAGGUCUUGGCAUCAUCAUUUACCACGGAGUCCUGAAUCAACAUGGGUUUUCCUUUCCGUGUGUGGACCAGUGUGUGUCUAGAGAGAAAACUCUUGUGGUAAAGUCCCCAUGCGUGGAAUAGGAAAAGCUGCAAAGUGAAAAUAAAAAGAGCAUUUGAUUCUUUCAUCAAAGGAGAAUUUAACAGGACAGAUCUGAACAUGUGCUCAACUUAACGACAUCAACGCAGAGGAAGACAGCUCGCACUGUGUUUCACUGGCUGCAAAGUGUCCAUUCCAGAGGAUGGCCUGACAUGCUAUUCUAUCUCAGGAGCAGAAGAAAAACUCCGAGACUACGACCAGCUCCGGCCAGAACUCCAAGUUGUCCCGGAGAAAUGGCCUCCUGCACUUGCACUCUGGCCUGGCUAAAUAGUCAGAGCUGGGUGUGUGGGACAAGCUCAGGACUAUGCCUGCUUCCAGGCUAGGCAAACAUUCAUCAGAGCCUUCAGUCUGGAGAAAUGCCUUCUUACAAUGAGUUUUCCAGGCUUGAGACAUCGAGGGAAUGACACAGAACACACAGUUGCUUGGGGUGUUGUUUGGGCUGACCAAGUUCCCAGCACUUAGAGCCUCUUACUGGAUUUAACCAUCACCCUGUGAGCCGUUCUGCAAGGGAAGGCCUGCUGUGAGGUCGUCAGUGAGCUGGGCGACAGAGGGGAAAGACCGGCCACAGAUGCACAACUUGGUGCUGCUCUCCCUCUUUAGCCUAUUUCCUCAUGAAGACAUUGGUGUGACUACAUAAGCCCAGAGAUUGCCUCCUGAGGAAGACUUUUGUAUGACGUUCUAACUCAAACUCUAUGAUGUCAAAUCACAAGGAAGUUGCCCUGAGGAUGCCAUGGUCCAGUCUCAUGGGCCCCUUAGAAAAUGGUGAGGAAUCCUUUAGGGCUUUCAGGGUAACCUAUGCUUUUGACUACUGUAAGGACAGACAUAUCCUUCACUGUUCUCUUCUGGGAGGACUUGAUUCAGUCACAGUCUUUCUGGGAUUUGUCUCCUCAUUCAUAAAAUGUAAGUGAUGCCACCCAUCUUGCCAAGCUUAAGAGUAGAUAUGAUCCUUUCAUAAAAUGGUGCUGGGACAAUGGUGUAUCCAUAUGCAACAAUGCAGUUGGAUGUCCUGCCUCAUACCACACAUAUGCUAAUUCAAGUGGAUUACCUAAAACUAUGAAAGACUUGGAAGAAAACCUUACUACAAACCUUUGUAGCCUUGUGUGGACAGUGAUUUUUUUAGAUAUAUUAUCUAAAGCACAAAUAAAGAAUAAAACCAGACAAAUUUGACUUCAUUAAAACUGAAGGGCAAGCAGGCACAGUGGAACAUGCCUUGGCACUCAGGGAGGCAGAGGCAGGCGGAUCACUGUGAGUUUGAGGCCAGCCUGUUUACAAAGCGAGUCCAGGACAGCCAAUAUAUAGAAAAACUCUGUCUUGAAAACCAACCAACCAAAACAA